UACGUAGGGGGCAGCGUUGUCCGGAAUCAUUGGUCGUAAAGCGCGUGUAGGCGGUUCGGUAAGUCGGCUGUGAAAGUCCAGGGCUCAACCCUGGGAUGCCGGUCGAUACUGCCGGACUAGAGUUCGGAAGAGGCGAGUGGAAUUCCCGGUGUAGCGGUGAAAUGCGCAGAUAUCGGGAGGAACACCAAUGGCGAAGGCAGCUCGCUGGGACGUUACUGACGCUGAGACGCGAAAGCGUGGGGAGCAAACAGGG
rnacentral:rRNA from 1 species